rnacentral:rRNA from 1 species
GACGAACGCUGGCGGCGUGCUUAACACAUGCAAGUCGAGCGGUGCGGCCAAGGGGUGAGUAACGCGUGAGUAACUGCCCCCCUCCCUGGGAUAACAGUUGAAAACGGCAGCCAAUACCGGAUAGCGGGGGAUGACUGGCGUCCGAUCGGCUUGUCGGUGGGGUAGUGGACUACCAAGGCGACGACGGGUAGUCGGCCUGAGAGGGUGACCGGCCACAUUGGACUGAGAUACGGCCCAGACUCCUACGGGAGGCAGCAGGGGGGAAUCUUCCGCAAUGGGCGAAAGUCUGACGGAGCAACGCCGCGUGUGUGAUGACGGCCUUCGGGUUGUAAAGUACUUUCAGCGAGGAGGAAGGUUAAUAACCUUGGUGAUUGACGUUACUCGCAGAAGAAGCACCGGCUAACUCCGUGCCAGCAGCCGCGGUAAUAC